GGAUCAAUGAUGACACACAUAUAUGCAUUCCUUGGGAAAGCUGAACAAAAUGAGUGAGAAAUCCUUACUGUCUCCUCUCAUCGAACUGAGGUUACC
rnacentral:snoRNA from 1 species